rnacentral:rRNA from 1 species
CGAGGUGGCCAUACCACCCUGAAUUUGCCUGAUCUCAUCUGAUCUCGGAAGCUAGGCGGGGUCGGGCCUGGUUGGUAAUUUGAACGAAAGACUGCCUGGGAAUAUCAUAUGCUGUAGGAC